rnacentral:lncRNA from 1 species
GUCUACCCGAGUUUUUCUUUUGGAUUUUUCCUGAAUUCGGUUUCUUCAACCGUAACGAUUGGAUCCAGUAUCAACGAAUUCGUUUUGGAUGAUUAUCGGACGACAUGGUCUGACCCAGAUUCUUUAAUCGGGUCAAUUCGACCCGGAGAAGAUGGCAUUGUUUUGGAUGAUUCACGGGCUAUAUGGGCUGACAGUGUUAAGAAGAAGAGAAAGAGGAAGAUGAACAAGCACAAGUUGAGGAAGUUAAGAAAGCGGCUAAGGAGGAAAACGAAGACUUAGAUAGUAGUCACAUUAUUUGCUUAAUCAUCGGGCGAGGUAUUCUUUCUUUUUGUGGGGAUAAAAUAUACCUCAAUUAUUUGUUUAGGCUAGGGUUCAGCCCACAGAUCCCUUGUUUUACUGUAUCACAAAAGGAUUUUGCUAAAUUAAUGACUUUUUGUGGUGGAAGAAAUUUUUUAAAUGAGUUGCCACACGUCCUAGGAAUAAGCUGACAAAAUCUGGUUCGUUUUGAUUGUUAUUUGUUGAGUAAACAUUUCUUGGUCGGGUAAUUUGCUGAUGGUAUAAUGGCAAUUUGACUGAGAAUGUUCUAUAUAGCAUUAUUUACAUGUUUUAUAUGGUUCAUUUGAUUAUGAAUUGAAGGAAAUUUUCAAAUGUAGUGCACAUUGUCAAAUAAGUUGAUUUAGAUGAACUGAAUAUAAUGUAUACCUGAUGAUAUUUGUUUUUCUCUGCUACAUAUUUAGUUUUGCUUAGAGAGCUUCGUUUGAGAAAUACAGGCUAAGGAGCAUGGUGUGUACAUCUAUAUACAAAGCAACUAUUUUCUCAUAUGCUACUUGAUUCUACAUUAUAAAUGUAGGCAGACGAUUGAAGCUUUUGCCUACUCGUUUUAGCUAGAAUGGCAUGAAAUUAUACAUGUCAUGUAGUUGUAGACAUAUAUUUAUGAAUUAUGACAGUGCGGAUAUGAAUUGUUGUGUAUUUUCACGACUUGGAUAUGCUUUAUGGCGUUGAAUGAAAAAUUCAAUGGAUGGGGUUGAUUUCUUUCCCUAGCAUAUGGGACAAGGUGAAGAGUGUCAUUUGGAAAACUUGGUAAUAAGAAUAAUAUUCGAAAUAAAAGGCUAUUUAUUGGUUUAGUAUAAGUUACAUUUAGCCCUUGUUUAGUGGGGACUAAAAUAAGGUUUUUAGUAGAUUUUGAUUGAAGUUGAUAAUAUGUGUGGUUGAAAAGCUGUGGAACCAUAAAAUAGGUGGUUAAAAUUAAUUGCUGACUUUGACUUAAAUUAAAAUUUGGAUUUUAAUCAGUAUCAAAUGGGGGCUUAGCGUAUCGAUUGCGAGAUACAUCUAGUGUUUCAGUUUCUCUGGUGUUGUUGUUUGUUCAUCAUCUGAUACGGGAGUUUUUUGUAUAUAUAUUCUGGGAACUACUGUUGUGGGUAUCUCGAAGAACAUGAAUAAGUCAUUAGUUGUUGGGAGAGUGGAAGAUGAAUUGUGAGGAGGUUCAUACUGAUUUUGAUAUCUUGACUAAUCUCGGAGUUUUUAGUGUGGUUAAGAGAACUAGAGCCAAAGAAAUAGUGAAAAAUAGAAUAUUAUAUGCAUUGCUCAUUAAGGAUUUAUUCAUGCUUGAUUGUUGGUUUCUCAAGAGGAUAAGUAACUGAAAUUACAUUGGACAUCAUGGAACAUCUCCAUCAAAUCAUCAUUGAGGCUUACGUUGAAUUUUGAUCUGGUUUCGUGUUCUUUUUUCUUCUUUUCUGAAGCAUGGAACUUAGCUUUUUAUAGGUUAGCAGCUUACAAUUGGCCUUCUAGAUUUAGAAACAAUUUGCUUCUGUGAAACAAUUUGGAAAUGACCAUUUGGUCUAAUUUGGAAUAGAUAUAUAAUAUGGUGUCUCUCUUUUUUAUCUGGUAUGAACGUUGACAGUGGUGAUUGAGACUUUCAAAUGUGUCUUAUUUGAAAUCAAAAAUAUUAAUAUUAUAUUUCUUUCCUCUCCUUUGAUUUUGAAUUCCUUGAAUUAACUAAAUAUACACUGCUACUGUGCUACAUGACCAGUAGGUUUGUUGCGAUGUUUCUCAGUAAACAUCGACAGUCAUGUAUCCAUUUUCUACUUUAUGGGAUACUGGGCUUCAAUUUCAUAUAUAGCUAACAUGACAACUCUACCUUUCAUGUUCUUCUUUCUUAAUUUAUGGGGUUAUGAUUUCUCUUUCAUUAUAGGCAGCAUCACCCAUUGCUAUCCACUAAUUCCUCUGGGUCAAAGUAGGUCUGAUAUCUAUAUUAUUUGACGUGGUAUUUCUAUAUCAAUCAUUGUGUAUCAAUGAUAGAUCUGUGUUCCCAAAUUGUAUGUAGUGGGAUCACAAACAUGUUUUUCUUUCUACAUUUGUCAGAUACAGAGAAUGGUACAAUGCACUCUGUCACUACCCAGAAAUUGAUCUCCAGCUGCUACUAAAAUCAUCACAUCUCACCGUUGACUUUUAUUCUGACACAAAUCCCUCUAACCACCAUUCCCAUUGGUGAAAACCUGUAUAUCGGCUCAGAAUAAAGAAUUAAACCGAAUUAUGGGCUUGGCUGUGUGAAGUAAAAGAAAAAGAGGAAGAUGACAAUAUAGGUUGGCUGGUUUAGGAAAACCCAAUUGAGCUUCGCCUCACACUGAGGGGAGCAAAAAUGGGCUUCAAAGCACUGAUUGUGAUGCAGUUUUAAUAGUCGAUUGAUUCAGUUGCGUGAGACGCACGACUCAUAGCACUGUCUUAAAUUUUGUGAGGCAUGCACUCCUCAAUUCUUUUGACUUGUUUACUUUUCUUUAGGUGUGGAUCCACAAAAUAUAAAAAUUCUAAUUUACUAGUUUGGGAAUAUCUCACUGCCUACUAAAUCAUUAAAAGUUGUGUUUCUCAUAGACCCAUUUUGGGAACAAUUGUACUCGAUUUAUGCCUUUUUAAACACUGUUUUAAGAUUGGUAGGUUAAGGAAACUUAGGAAGCAUCUCAAGAGCUAUACAGUUAUUUUUGUUAUUUAGGGGAUGGUGGAACUUAUCGUUCAAGUUACUGUGAGAUUUGUCUCUGUUUUAUUUUGUAUUGAGAAUAUUUUUCCCAUUAAAUUUGUGGUGGAACUUAUUGCUCACUUUUUGAGUAGGUUCGCCACUAUUUUAAUUUGUUCAUUUCAGUCUUGACUAGUAUGCAUUUGAAUAGCACAACCAUGAGAGAUGGGAUUUGUAAAUUAUGUUCAUAACUUCGAUGUUAUUAUUAUUAUUAUUAUUAUUUUUAUGAUGGGGGAAUUCACAGUCGCUACCCUUCGAGUGCGCACUGGGUAAACCCUCGGGCUGAUGCAAUAGCUUGCAAACCACGCUAGCCAGGUUGUUCGAUCGAGAGAGUGUUGGUAGGGGAAUAACUUCGUUAUUCUUUUUUUUUUUUUUUUUUUGUUGACAAGGGAACCCGCAGUCGCUACUCGAAGGUGCACACUAGGUAAACCCCGCCUUGUUAUCCUAGUCGACAAAGGACCACAAGGAGGUAAACCAGCCUAGGUUACAAGAAGAACAUAUGGCUGAUGGUAGAACAACCAUGAGUUUUAUUGGAGUAUAGUCCCUCUUCAGUCUUCGGGAAUCGCCAAAUUUGUCUACAGGUUUUGCAUUUUGGUCUAGAUUCAUUAUUCAUUGCCCAAAAAAGAUGAAAUUAUCUUAUACCCGUAUCUGAGGUUCGACGGUAACAGAAAGUCAUGGUUUGACACAUACAUAAACCUUCGGUUCUGUAAAUCUAUGUUCUGAAGAUGGACACAUCACAUCAACUCACGGGAACGAGAAUGGUUUGAUUUCCAUGAGCCCUCUUUUCAAUUCUUGUUCUCAUGAUGAUAAUAUGAGCUGUUAUUUUAUAAUAUUUGUCAUGGAUGUGAUGUGAUGGGAUGGUGGUUGGGGUGUUUAAGUCAUGCUUCUAUUAGCCAUAAAUUAAUUUAUGUGACAGUGAUGGUGUCACUUCUGAAGUGAGCAAUUCCAAGGCCAAAUAUUUGGCUUGUUUAUAAGGAUACCAGGCACAGAGGAUUGCCUGUCUUUAUGGACAAUGCACGGCUUGCUUUAAUUUUUUUUAGGUAGUUACUUAUAAGUAAACUUAUUGAGCUCAACCAAUCAUGGUCAAAUCUUAGAGCUAUACUGGAUCUCCCAUUUCUUUUUUUUUUUUCUUUUUUUUUGAGAUCCUUAAAACGUUCCCAAAUUCGUGGUCUAAGCCUUGUUUGAUUUUCAUCUUUUUCAAAGUACAUUUUUCUUUCUUAUUUUUAACUACAUAUUUUUCAAUAAAAUAAUACGAAGAAAUUACAUUAUAGCAGUAUUUAAAGAUUACAAUUCAUAGAUCAGGUAUCAAGUUUAUUACUUCAAAUAUCAAGAUAAUUAAUCUACUCAUUUCCAUUCUCUCCCUACCUCUCCUAUCUCUUAUCACCAUCAUCGGAACCAAUAAGGC